UUUAGUAGGGAGAAGCGAAAGUGACGGUACCUGCAGAAAAGCACCGCUAACUACGUGCCAGCAGCCGCGGUAUACGUAGGGUGCAAGCGUUUCCGGAAUUAUUGGGCGUAAAGAGCUCGUAGGCGGCUUGUCGCGUCUGCUGUGAAAACCAGAGGCUCAACCUCUGGCUUGCAGUGGGUACGGGCAAGCUAGAGUGCGGUAGGGGAGAUUGGAAUUCCUGGUGUAGCGGUGGAAUGCGCAGAUAUCAGGAGGAACACCGAUGGCGAAGGCAGAUCUCUGGGCCGUAACUGACGCUGAGGAGCGAAAGCAUGGGGAGCGAACAGGAUUAGAUACCCUGGUAGUCCAUGCCGUAAACGUUGGGAACUAGAUGUAGGGCCUGUUCCACGGGUUCUGUGUCGUAGCUAACGCAUUAAGUUCCCCGCCUGGGGAGUACGGCCGCAAGGCUAAAACUCAAAGGAAUUGACGGGGGCCCGCACAAGCGGCGGAGCAUGCGGAUUAAUUCGAUGCAACGCGAAGAACCUUACCAAGGCUUGACAUAUACGAGAACACUGUAGAGAUACAGGACUCUUUGGACACUCGUAAACAGGUGGUGCAUGGUUGUCGUCAGCUCGUGUCGUGAGAUGUUCGGUUAAGUCCGGCAACGAGCGCAACCCUCGUCCUAUGUUGCCAGCACGUAAUGGUGGGAACUCAUGGGAUACUGCCGUGGUCAACACGGAGGAAGGUGGGGAUGACGUCAAAUCAUCAUGCCCCUUAUGUCUUGGGCUUCACGCAUGCUACAAUGGCCGAUACAAAGGGCUGCGAUACCGCGAGGUGGAGCGAAUCCCAAAAAGUCGGUCUCAGUUCGGAUUGGGGUCUGCAACUCGACCCCAUGAAGUCGGAGUCGCUAGUAAUCGCAGAUCAGCAACGCUGCGGUGAAUACGUUCCCGGGCCUUGUACACACCGCCCGUCAAGUCAUGAAAGUCGGUAACACCCGAAGCCGG
rnacentral:rRNA from 1 species